CUACUACUGGCUGGGAUCAUAGGCCUGUCUGUCUACUACUAACACAACUGCAGAGAGAGACCAGCUACAGACCAGAUACAACAACCUGACGGAAGAGAGUGACCAGUUACAGACCAGAUUCAACAACCUGACUGAAGAGAGAGACCAGCUACAGACCAGAUACAACAACCUGACUGAAGAGAGAGACCAGCUACAGACCAGAUACAACAACCUGACUGAAGAGAGAGAUCAGAUACAGACCAGAAACAACAACUUGACUAAAGAGAGAGACCAGUUACAGACCAGAUACAACAACCUGACUAAAGAGAGAGACCAGUUACAGACCAGAUACAACAACCUGACGGAAGAGAGAGACCAGUUACAGACCAGAUUCAACAACCUGACUGAAGAGAGAGACCAGUUACAGACCAGAUUCAACAACCUGACCGAGGAGAGAGACCAGUUACAGACCAGAUACAACAUCCUGACUAAAGAGAAAGGCCAUAUUCAGGCAAAGCUUUUUGUGAUAGGUGAGAUAUAAUCUGUGAUAAAUUAUAAGUAAAAUAAACAGUAAUUAUAUAUCAA